AACGCUAGCUACAGGCUUAACACAUGCAAGUCGAGGGGAAACGACAGAGGAAGCUUGCUUCCUUUGGGCGUCGACCGGCGCACGGGUGAGUAACGCGUAUCCAACCUGCCCACCACUUGGGGAUAACCUUGCGAAAGUAAGACUAAUACCCGAUGAUAUCCCUAGACGACAUCCGAAAGGGAUUAAAGAUUUAUCGGUGAUGGAUGGGGAUGCGUCUGAUUAGCUUGUUGGCGGGGUAACGGCCCACCAAGGCAACGAUCAGUAGGGGUUCUGAGAGGAAGGUCCCCCACACUGGUACUGAGACACGGACCAGACUCCUACGGGAGGCAGCAGUGAGGAAUAUUGGUCAAUGGGCGGAAGCCUGAACCAGCCAAGUCGCGUGAGGGAAGACGGUCCUAUGGAUUGUAAACCUCUUUUGCCGGGGAGCAAGCCGGGUCUGCGGACCCGCGUUGAGAGUACCCGGAGAAAAAGCAUCGGCUAACUCCGUGCCAGCAGCCGCGGUAAUACGGAGGAUGCGAGCGUUAUCCGGAUUUAUUGGGUUUAAAGGGUGCGUAGGCGGAUUGUUAAGUCAGUGGUCAAAACGGGAGGCUCAACCUUCUGUCGCCAUUGAAACUGGCAGUCUAGAGUGAGCGAGAAGUAUGCGGAAUUCGUGGUGUAGCGGUGAAAUGCUUAGAUAUCACGAAGAACUCCGAUUG
rnacentral:rRNA from 1 species